UACGUAGGGGGCUAGCGUUAUCCGGAAUUACUGGGCGUAAAGGGUGCGUAGGUGGUUCCUUAAGUCAGAGGUGAAAGGCUACGGCUCAACCGUAGUAAGCCUUUGAAACUGGGGAACUUGAGUGCAGGAGAGGAGAGUGGAGUUCCUAGUGUAGCGGUGAAAUGCGUAGAUAUUAGGAGGAACACCAGUUGCGAAGGCGGCUCUCUGGACUGUAACUGACACUGAGGCACGAAAGCGUGGGGAGCAAACAGG
rnacentral:rRNA from 1 species